CACGUAGGGGGCGAGCGUUGUCCGGAUUUAUUGGGCGUAAAGAGCUCGUAGGCGGCUCAGUAAGUCGGGUGUGAAAACUCCAGGCUCAACCUGGAGACGCCACCCGAUACUGCUGUGGCUAGAGUCCGGUAGGGGAGCAUGGAAUUCCUGGUGUAGCGGUGAAAUGCGCAGAUAUCAGGAGGAACACCGGUGGCGAAGGCGGGUCUCUGGGCCGUUACUGACGCUGAGGAGCGAAAGCGUGGGGAGCGAACAGG
rnacentral:rRNA from 1 species